CAAUACAUAAUUUGUAUGGAGUUGGAGCAUUUGCCUACGUUUAUGGCUACGGGCGCUGUUCCAACUGCAUACAAAUUUGAGUUA
rfam:Bombyx mori DNA, contig: Bm_scaf56_contig27877, strain: p50T/Dazao, build 2, whole genome shotgun sequence.